rnacentral:lncRNA from 1 species
ACCAAGUGUUGUUACUUUGUAGCCGAUCCAUUAUCCAAGAUGGCCACCAGCGGGGGACUUAGUUUAACAUAGGACCCUACGGGAAAUACAUACAAAUGUUUUCUUUAAGUGAAACACUAAUUGGAAUGAAACAAAACAUAGCAUGAAUGUUCUUAAUGAGAUACUGACCAAGUGUUGUUACUUUGUCGCCAUUGCAACAUCCAAGAUGGGCACGAGUGGGGGACUCAGUUUAACAUAGGACCCUAUGGGAAAUGCAUACAAAAGUCUUCUUCUAAAGAACCACUGAAUUGAAUGAAAUCAAACAUAGCAUGAAUGUUCCUUUCCUUAUGAGGUGCUGGCCAAGUGUUGAGUGUUGUUACUUUUAGCCAAAUUUCAUAUUUUUUUAUAUGAUUUCAAAAACCCAAGUAGAAUCAGGUGAGCGAUACGUAUACAGGCUCUUGAGAGCCUCUAGUUUUAAUUAUGACUGUAAAUUCAGAAAUUAAUGUAUAUUCAUUCACCAUAAUUGUACUUUAAAAGUACACUUUAAUCUAGAUUUGUGUAUAUUUUUGUCCUACAGUGGAAUAUUAUUGUGGAACAUUUACUGAUCAAUAUUUUUGUUGUAGAUAUGUUUGAGGGGGGUCUGAUUUGGAAAUUCUGGGCUUAAAAAACAUGGAUUUCAGAGGUCCUGAAUUUAAAAAAAGAUUUAAUCCAGACAUCCUGAAAUUCGAAAAAAGAAAUCCUGGAUUCCGACAGGGACCGUCAAUCCUGAAAUCACAAUUUUAAAAACACCUGAUCGCAAAGUCUCUUCAAAGGUCCUAUCCCCUUUCAUGUUUUAUUGACUAAUGAUUUGCCAUGUUUUAAGUAUACACA